rnacentral:rRNA from 1 species
AUACGUAGGGGGCGAGCGUUGUCCGGAAUGAUUGGGCGUAAAGGGCGCGUAGGCGGCGCGGUAAGUCUGGAGUGAAAGUCCUGCUUUCAAGGUGGGAAUUGCUUUGGAUACUGCCGCGCUUGAGUGCAGGAGAGGUUAUCGGAAUUCCCGGUGUAGCGGUGAAAUGCGUAGAGAUCGGGAGGAACACCAGUGGCGAAGGCGGGUAACUGGACUGCAACUGACGCUGAGGCGCGAAAGUGUGGGGAGCAAACAGGAUUAGAUACCCUGGUAGUCCACACUGUAAACGAUGAAUGCUAGGUGUAAGAGGUAUCGACCCCUUUUGUGCCGGAGUCAACGCAAUAAGCAAUCCGCCUGGGGAGUACGGCCGCAAGGUUGAAACUCAAAUGAAUUGCCGGGG